UAAUCAUGUGUAUGAAUGCAUGCAUCAUAUAGUACAAGUUUACUAUUAUGCUAACAAGAUCGAUCCAUGUUCGAUGAAUAAUGUUCAAUAUCAGCAUUAACUUUUCAUUUACCCAAUCUGUGGCAAAAACCAUGGGGUUUGCUUUCAUCUCACAUCUAUAUCCCUCUAGGUAAGGAGCUCCAUGUGCUCUCAGACCCGGGAUUGUCUGUGGACCUCCAUGUGGUCCCUAUCGCCCGACACUUCGGAGUACUCGACGACCAAUCCUCUCCAUGUGAGGAUAUGGAUGGCUUUACCAUCCCGAAUAACAGACCGUGAGUUGAUCUAUCCUCUCCACGUCAGGAUACCCUACGAACUAGGGCCAACACUUCUCGAAACUCAUUUAUUCCGAUAAUCCUGCAAAACACUUAGCUUUACUAAAUUCAUUGUUCACAAGGCAUUUUCUAAGGAAUUCCACCUAUCCCUAAGUCCAUAGACUUCUAGUGUCAAAUACACUACAUUAAUGCCACUCGUUUUGUUCAUUAAACAUUAGAUGCCACUCUCUAUGUCACUAAAUAAUCAUCGAGUCCAUCUCUUAUCUUUAGCACUAUAGGAUCCAUGUUCCGACCCAAUCCUCACCUAUCCAUUUCACCGAGCGUUCCAAGUACACUAGGUUAACAUUUAGAAAGCAUAAGGAAAGGUACUACAAUGCAAUCCUACAAUGCAACAUGCAAGAGAUGAAAAUUAUAUUAUUCUAAGACAUAGAAAAGGGCUCGGUUGCUUCGGGAUGACACCCCCCAUCUUUUAUAGUCGUAGAGGUUCUAGAAAUGCCCUUCGACGUUCUUUACGAUAAAGUCUUGGCCU
rnacentral:lncRNA from 1 species